UCCGAGUUGACCCCGGCAGUCUCCUACGAGUCCCCGCCAUUACGCGCUGGCAACAUAGGACAAGGGUUGCGCUUGUUGCGGGACUUAACCCAACAUCUCACGACACGAGCUGACGACAACCAUGCACCACCUGUGUAUCACCCUCGAAGGCGACUACUUUUCGGUAGCUUGCAGAUACAUGUCAAGCCCUGGUAAGGUUCUUCGCGUUGCAUCGAGUUAAGCCACAUGCUCCACCGCUUGUGCGGGCCCCCGUCAAUUCUUUUGAGUUUUAGCCUUGCGGCCGUACUCCCCAGGCGGAACACUUAUCGCGUUGGCUGCGGCACAGACAGAUUCGACUCCGCCCACACCUAGUGUUCAUCGUUUACGGCGUGGACUAC
rnacentral:misc_RNA from 1 species